AUUGAACGCUGGCGGAAUGCUUUACACAUGCAAGUCGAACGGCAGCACGGACUUCGGUCUGGUGGCGAGUGGCGAACGGGUGAGUAAUGUAUCGGAACGUGCCCAGUCGUGGGGGAUAACGUAGUGAAAAUUACGCUAAUACCGCAUACGAUCUAUGGAUGAAAGCGGGGGAUCGCAAGACCUCGCGCGAUUGGAGCGGCCGAUAUCAGAUUAGGUAGUUGGUGGGGUAAGGGACCACCAAGCCAACGAACUGUAGCUGGUCUGAGAGGACGGCCAGCCACACUGGAACUGAGACUCGGUCCAGACUCCUACGGUAAGCAGCAGUAGCGAAUUGUGGACUAGGGGCGAAGGCGUGAUCCAGCCAUACCGAGUGCAGGAUGAAGGCCCUCGGGUUGUACACUGCUUUUGUACAGAACGAAAAGGUUUCUACUAAUACUAGGAGCUCAUGACGGUACUGUAAGAAUAAGCACCGGCUAACUACGUGCCAGCCGCCGCCGUAA
rnacentral:rRNA from 1 species